rnacentral:rRNA from 1 species
AACGAACGCUGGCGGCAGGCUUAACACAUGCAAGUCGAGCGCCCCGCAAGGGGAGCGGCAGACGGGUGAGUAACGCGUGGGAAUCUGCCCAUCUCUACGGAAUAACGCAUGGAAACGUGUGCUAAUACCGUAUACGCCCUUCGGGAGAAAGAUUUAUCGGAGAUGGAUGAGCCCGCGUUGGAUUAGCUAGUUGGUGGGGUAAAGGCCUACCAAGGCGACGAUCCAUAGCUGGUCUGAGAGGAUGGUCAGCCACACUGGGACUGAGACACGGCCCAGACUCCUACGGGAGGCAGCAGUGGGGAAUAUUGGACAAUGGGCGCAAGCCUGAUCCAGCCAUGCCGCGUGAGUGAUGAAGGCCCUAGGGUUGUAAAGCUCUUUCACCGGUGAAGAUAAUGACGGUAACCGGAGAAGAAGCCCCGGCUAACUUCGUGCCAGCCGCCGCAGUAAUAC